AUGCUUUGGCAGCCCGUGUACUAAAAUUGGACCGAUGUAGGGAAGAUUAGCAUGGGCCCUGAGCAAGGAUGACAUGCAAAUCCUUUCAAGGUUCCUUAUUUUU
ensembl:snRNA U6 U6 spliceosomal RNA